AUUGAACGCUGGCGGCAUGCCUUACACAUGCAAGUCGAACGGCAGCACGGGAGCAAUCCUGGUGGCGAGUGGCGAACGGGUGAGUAAUAUAUCGGAACGUGCCCAGUAGUGGGGGAUAGCCCGGCGAAAGCCGGAUUAAUACCGCAUGAGACCUGAGGGUGAAAGCGGGGGAUCGCAAGACCUCGCGCUAUUGGAGCGGCCGAUAUCAGAUUAGCUAGUUGGUGGGGUAAAGGCCUACCAAGGCAACGAUCUGUAGUUGGUCUGAGAGGACGACCAGCCACACUGGGACUGAGACACGGUCCAGACUCCUACGGGAGGCAGCAGUAGGGAAUAUUGGACAAUGGGGGCAACCCUGAUCCAGCCAUGCCGCGUGAGUGAAGAAGGCCCUCGGGUUGUAAAGCUCUUUUGUCCGGAAAGAAAAGCAAUCGGUUAAUACCCGGUUGUUCUGACGGUACCGGAAGAAUAAGCACCGGCUAAC
rnacentral:rRNA from 1 species